rnacentral:rRNA from 1 species
UACGUAGGGGGCAAGCGUUGUCCGGAAUCAUUGGGCGUAAAGCGCGUGUAGGCGGCCCGGUAAGUCCGCUGUGAAAGUCGGGGGCUCAACCCUCGAAUGCCGGUGGAUACUGUCGGGCUAGAGUGCGGGAGAGGCGAGUGGAAUUCCUGGUGUAGCGGUGAAAUGCGCAGAUAUCAGGAAGAACACCCGUGGCUAAGGCGGCUCUCUGGGACGGUACUGACGCUGAGACGCGAAAGCGUGGGGAGCGAACAGG